UACGUAGGUGACAAGCGUUGUCCGGAAUUAUUGGGCGUAAAGAGCUCGUAGGCGGUUCGUCGCGUCGGCUGUGAAAUCCCGAGGCUCAACCUCGGGUCUGCAGUCGAUACGGGCGGACUGGAGUACUGCAGGGGAGACUGGAAUUCCUGGUGUAGCGGUGAAAUGCGCAGAUAUCAGGAGGAACACCGGUGGCGAAGGCGGGUCUCUGGGCAGUUACUGACGCUGAGGAGCGAAAGCGUGGGGAGCGAACAGG
rnacentral:rRNA from 1 species